UACGGAGGGGACUAGCGUUGUUCGGAAUUACUGGGCGUAAAGCGCACGUAGGCGGAUUUGUAAGUCAGGGGUGAAAGCCCAGGGCUCAACCCUGGAAUUGCCUUUGAUACUGACUGUCUUGAGUACGGGAGAGGUGUGUGGAACUCCGAGUGUAGAGGUGAAAUUCGUAGAUAUUCGGAAGAACACCAGUGGCGAAGGCGACACACUGGCCCGUUACUGACGCUGAGGCGCGAAAGCGUGGGGAGCAAACAGG
rnacentral:rRNA from 1 species